AUUACACUGAAAACAAGGCAUUUAUACUUUGGUUUAACUGAUGAGAUGAAGAAGUGUACCAGGCCCAAAUGCAAGAACAAUUUUAAUCUACAAAAGCAUCUCAAUAUGUUUGAGCAAGACAGUGCAAAGCAGCAAUAACCCUCACAGUGUUUGUAAGAGGUUGAAACAAGGCUCCAGCCCGUCCUCCUGUCUCCAGAAGUGGCCCACAGCACCAGGUUACUGCAGUAAAGAUACAGCCAUGUUCUCUCAGAACAUGUUCACAAGCUGAAGAAACAUGCAGCAUAGAAAAUGUCAAUGUGUUCUCUGUCUCUGGGAUAAGUUGUAGAUAGGUCUAUCAAGUAGCCAAACAAUGGAACAACAUCCAUAACAGAUAUAUCAGGAUGUAUUUAGCUGCUUUAAUAUAGUUCAACUUUAUGUGAUGUACAAAAACAAAAAUAUACAUAUUUUCCAGACAGCGAUAUAAUUUUACUUAGUCUGAAAUAUAGGAAAAACAUUUCAUAUACAUAUAAAUGGAUUAAAAUUCAGAAUGCACAAUAGAUUUUUAACCACAAGUGUAAAGUUGUAGACAAGUACACUAUAUGUCCUUUUUGUGAAAACUUAUAUGCUUCCUAGUCUACUCUCAGUUCUAUAAAUAUAUGUAUCAAUAAUAAAUGUAUGUGUAAAUAAAAUUGCUUGACACAAAUGA